UACAGAGGGUGCGAGCGUUGUUCGGAAUUAUUGGGCGUAAAGAGCGUGUAGGCGGUUAGGUAGGUCCGUUGUGAAAACUCGAGGCUCAACCUCGAGACGCCGAUGGAAACCAUCUGACUAGAGUCCGGAAGAGGAGAGUGGAAUUCCUGGUGUAGCGGUGAAAUGCGCAGAUAUCAGGAAGAACACCCGUGGCUAAGGCGGCUCUCUAGUACGUGACUGACGCUGAGACGCGAAAGCGUGGGGAGCGAACAGG
rnacentral:rRNA from 1 species